rnacentral:rRNA from 1 species
UGAGGAAUAUUGCACAAUGGGCGCAAGCCUGAUGCAGCAACGCCGCGUGAGGGACGAAGGCCUUCGGGUUGUAAACCUCUUUUCUGAGGGACGAGGAAGGACGGUACCUCAGGAAUAAGUCUCGGCUAACUACGUGCCAGCAGCCGCGGUAAAACGUAGGAGGCGAGCGUUAUCCGGAUUUACUGGGCGUAAAGCGCGCGCAGGUGGCUUCGUGAGUCGGACAUGAAAGCUCCUGGCUUAACUGGGAGAGGCUGUUCGAUACUGCGGGGCUUGAGGUUGGGAGAGGGACGCGGAAUUCCCGGUGUAGUGGUGGAAUGCGUAGAUAUCGGGAGGAACACCAGUGGCGCAAGCGGCGUCCUGGCCCACACCUGACGCUGAGGGGCGAAAGCGUGGGUAGCAAAC